GGGACACGUGGUAUCCUGUCUGAAUAUGGGGGGACCAUCCUCCAAGGCUAAAUACUCCUGACUGACCGAUAGUGAACCAGUACCGUGAGGGAAAGGCGAAAAGAACCCCGGCGAGGGGAGUGAAAAAGAACCUGAAACCGUGUACGUACAAGCAGUGGGAGCACGCUUAGGCGUGUGACUGCGUACCUUUUGUAUAAUGGGUCAGCGACUUAUAUUCUGUAGCAAGGUUAACCGAAUAGGGGAGCCGAAGGGAAACCGAGUCUUAACUGGGCGUUAAGUUGCAGGGUAUAGACCCGAAACCCGGUGAUCUAGCCAUGGGCAGGUUGAAGGUUGGGUAACACUAACUGGAGGACCGAACCGACUAAUGUUGAAAAAUUAGCGGAUGACUUGUGGCUGGGGGUGAAAGGCCAAUCAAACCGGGAGAUAGCUGGUUCUCCCCGAAAGCUAUUUAGGUAGCGCCUCGUGAAUUCAUCUCCGGGGGUAGAGCACUGUUUCGGCAAGGGGGUCAUCCCGACUUACCAACCCGAUGCAAACUGCGAAUACCGGAGAAUGUUAUCACGGGAGACACACGGCGGGUGCUAACGUCCGUCGUGAAGAGGGAAACAACCCAGACCGCCAGCUAAGGUCCCAAAGUCAUGGUUAAGUGGGAAACGAUGUGGGAAGGCCCAGACAGCCAGGAUGUUGGCUUAGAAGCAGCCAUCAUUUAAAGAAAGCGUAAUAGCUCACUGGUCGAGUCGGCCUGCGCGGAAGAUGUAACGGGGCUAAACCAUGCACCGAAGCUGCGGCAGCGACACUAUGUGUUGUUGGGUAGGGGAGCGUUCUGUAAGCCUGUGAAGGUGUGCUGUGAGGCAUGCUGGAGGUAUCAGAAGUGCGAAUGCUGACAUAAGUAACGAUAAAGCGGGUGAAAAGCCCGCUCGCCGGAAGACCAAGGGUUCCUGUCCAACGUUAAUCGGGGCAGGGUGAGUCGACCCCUAAGGCGAGGCCGAAAGGCGUAGUCGAUGGGAAACAGGUUAAUAUUCCUG
rnacentral:rRNA from 1 species